GCUGGGGGAGAAAUAACAGCAGCAGUGUUAAUCCUGCAAGCUACUGUGACUGGCUUGGCAAGGUUGCUUCUGUCAGAUAUUUGUCACUCCAAGAAGAUGAACAGUCAUAGCUAAGGAGCUAAGUAAGUUCACAUACUCAGCUGCUGCUGCUGUUCUUCACUGACAUCUGGACCUAGGUUCUUCAGUACUUCAACAUAGACAUGAACAGUGGAUUUCCAAAACCCCAUUGGCACCAAAUUGGAACUGAGGAAGCACCAAGCCUAAGUGAACUAAUCAACUACCAAUUUCUUAGUCUUUCCGAUAUGAAGAUAGACAUUGUUGGACAACUCAGACCACAUUGUGUAAGCUGAUCUAAUAAAUUCCCCUUUAAUAUAUAUAUAUUUCUUCUAUUGCUUCUGUUUCUUUAGAGAAUCCGAAUUAUUACAUGGUAUAUCUGUGGCUGUUUCUGAUAGUUAAAUGCUAAGAAUGUAGACAUGAACCACCAUACCCAGCUUAGAAGAAUCGGCAGGAAGAAAUGUUUUUCUUUAUGGAAGUAUUUAACUUUCUGAACAGUAGAUUUUUCUCAUUCACAAAUUGUUUUUGAUGUUUAUUUGUUAACCACUUGGCCUCUU